AGGAGUUCCAUCGAGCUGAAGAAAAGGAAAGGAACAUGCCAAACUGCCCAGCAGAGAAAGUGAGCCUGUGAACACAGAAGUGACAGCAUCAGACAUCAGACACCAUGACCCCAGCGAGAAAUGGAUUUGGGACUUGAAGAGACAGGACUCCUCACUGGAGGGACGGCAGGAUUGAGCUGUUUGGAAAUUCUGUGGAUAACUCCUGCGUUGCAGUGUACAUGGUACCAGGCACCUUGGCAAGGG